ACGUAGGGGGCAAGCGUUAUCCGGAUUUACUGGGUGUAAAGGGAGCGUAGACGGUAUGGCAAGUCUGAUGUGAAAGGCCAGGGCUCAACCCUGGGACUGCAUUGGAAACUGUCGAACUAGAGUGUCGGAGAGGCAAGUGGAAUUCCUAGUGUAGCGGUGAAAUGCGUAGAUAUUAGGAGGAACACCAGUGGCGAAGGCGGCUUGCUGGACGAUGACUGACGUUGAGGCUCGAAAGCGUGGGGAGCAAACAG
rnacentral:rRNA from 1 species